CUGGUGGCGAGUGGCGAACGGGUGAGUAAUAUAUCGGAACAUACCCAGUAGUGGGGGAUAACUAUCCGAAAGGAUAGCUAAUACCGCAUACGAUCUGUGGAUGAAAGCAGGGGAUCUUCGGACCUUGUGCUAUUGGAAUGGCCGAUAUCUGAUUAGCUAGUUGGUAGGGUAAAAGCCUACCAAGGCGACGAUCAGUAGCUGGUCUGAGAGGACGACCAGCCACACUGGAACUGAGACACGGUCCAGACUCCUACGGGAGGCAGCAGUGGGGAAUUUUGGACAAUGGGGGCAACCCUGAUCCAGCAAUGCCGCGUGAGUGAAGAAGGCCCUCGGGUUGUAAAGCUCUUUUGUCAGGGAAGAAACGGAGUUCUCUAAUAUAGGAUUCUAAUGACGGUACCUGAAGAAUAAGCACCGGCUAACUACGUGCCAGCAGCCGCGGUAAUACGUAGGGUGCAAGCGUUAAUCGGAAUUACUGGGCGUAAAGCGUGCGCAGGCGGUUUUGUAAGUCUGAUGUGAAAUCCCCGGGCUCAACCUGGGAACUGCAUUGGAGACUGCAAGGCUAGAGUGUGUCAGAGGGGGGUAGAAUUCCACGUGUAGCAGUGAAAUGCGUAGAGAUGUGGAGGAAUACCGAUGGCG
rnacentral:rRNA from 1 species